rnacentral:rRNA from 1 species
GGGACGAACGCUGGCGGUGUGCUUAACACAUGCAAGUGGAGCGACGAACCAGAGCUUGCUCUGGGGCAGAGCCGCGAACGGGUGAGUAACACGUGGAUAACCUACCCCGACGACCGGGACAACCCGAGGAAACUCGGGCUAAUACCAGAUGUGCUCGCACCUCAUCAGAGGAGUGAGUAAAGGAAGCUUCGGCCUCCGCAUCGGGAGGGUCCGCGGCCCAUUAGCUAGUUGGUGAGGUAACGGCUUACCAAGGCUUCGAUGGGUAGC